GCUGGUGAUGUUCAGCUGGGUGGUGUCACUGUUGAUCUGAUCCGGCCCUCCGUUUGGUGUGUCGUGAUCCAGCACCACAUUCACUGAAGGUAGGAAGCCUUUUGACACACGUGGUUAAAUUACACACGGUUGACUAACGCUAAAAGACUUAAGUGCAAACAAUGUGGGGAUUAACUUCAUCUGCGCUCACACACAUACUCAACCUAAACUGUAAUAGUACACAAAGGAUGUGAGCAUAAAAGUGCAUAGAUCGCAGUGGUAUUUACUAGAUCUGCUGGUUUGAUUCGUCCGAAGAGUGUUGAAUAAUUGUGUAUAACCACACAGGAAGUGCCAAGCAAUUGAAUCACAACUGUAAAUCAACGCACUUUAUAAUUCCUAAUUCUAACUAACAUUGCUGAAAAUUCCAGAUGUAGUACGGAAGCGUAUUGCAUUCAUCUGGGAAAAAAAAAAUUCUUUUUCUGUUUUUCUGAAUUAAUGAGAUAACCAUCCUGUUUUUCAUGAUGCAUGAUCUAUGUAGUUUAAUCCGGUUUAAUUUCUAUAGAUGUAUUACCAUUAGUCUGUUAUCUUUGCACAGGUACCUAUUGCAACCUGCUUGACAUUGCAGUGCUUCUCCCGGAUCAGUUGAAUCAGUAUUGCAUGCUUCAUGGACAAAUGCUGAUGUAUCUGAAAUGCGUUCAGUCCGACUCGUAUGUGACCCAUCACCACGAAAUGAGUCUUAUGGGUGCAGUUCUACCAGUGCGACUUAAGACUCAUUUCGUGGCGACGGGUCACAUAUGAUUUCACAUGCCAUGGGUUUGGACCUGGAUUCUGAUCCCAGUGCUGCCGAAGGCGAUUCCGGAGCCUGAGCUGUACUCUAUGAGGAUCCAGUAUUUGCAGCAAUCGCCUGACAUGGUUUUGGGUCACAACAUGGUCGGCCUGAAUGCUUUUCACAGGCGUCAGCUUAUUUCCGCGAAGCAUGACUUACUGCAUCUGCUGCUCUAGGAGAAGCACGGCAAUGUCAAGCAAGUCGCAGUGACCUGUACGGCUGAACAAACCCGAAGUCCGGGGCUGCCACUGCAUAAAGUUAACAAACCAAUGAUAAUACAACAACAACAACAACAAAUGUAUUUUUGUAUAGCGCAUUAACACAACAUUACAUCAUCUCAAAGCGCUUUACAGCAUCCGCACCCAAAGCCCCCAGUGAGUAAGCCAAAGGCAACAGUGGCAAGGAAAAACUCCCAAGAAGGAAGAAACCUUGGGAGGGACCAGACUCAAAGGGGGAGCCCAUCCUCCAGGGGCCGGCAGGGAGAGUCAAAUAAGAGUCAAGUCACAUUGUCCCAAUCAUAAGAUUUGGGAAAUAACUGGAAAGCAGGGAAGAUGACAAGCCAAUGGCAAAUGACAAUACCAUCCAUACUACUUAAAAACAUUAAUAUUUCCCAACGUCUCAAAUCAAUUAAUUCAGAAAAACAGAAAAGUAUCACUUUUAAAAACAAGAUGGUUAUCUCAUUAUUUCAGAAAAACAUUAAAUAUUGCUUGUAAAUACAGGAUGAUUAUAUUGAUUUGGAACAACAACUAAUUUUUAUUUUUCCAGUUGAAUGUAUACGCUUCUGUGAUGUAGAACACAAUUUUAAAAUGACAGAAACUGUAAAAAAAACAAAAAAAAAAAACAAAGAAAUUGCUAAAAAUCACUUAGAUGACAACGCUUCAGGCUGAGGAACAAGACCUGUGGUCAGUGAUUUAAUACCCGAAAGAUUUAAUGAUGUAAUGCCUUAGUCACAACCUACAUUACAGUCCCAUGUGACCUGCUGAAGAACAAGAUAACGGGAUAAACGGGAAGGUCUGGUUUUAAUAUAACAGCCAUAAUGCAGCUGAAAACCAAGAGCUACAUAAAGCUAAACUGAUAAAAUAAUGGCCAAAUUUGUGUUUUUUUUUUUACAUAUAGGUCAAUUAAAUAGUAUUGAAAAGGAGCCAUCAUUGAAAUCAGAGCUUGCUAUGUUUUGUUUCGUAUGACUGAGCACAAAUGAUUUAGCAUAACUUAACGUUUCUGUUUUAGCUUGUUCUGUCCUUUGCACCUGCACAAACUGAAUGGUUAGACCAUUUACCCCUGCUUAUGGGACUUGUUCUUACACAAAACACAUGCAGAGGAAAUUGUAAAGAUAAACCACUAGCAGCUUAGCUUGCCUUCAGCCAGCUCUUGGAACUACAUGUACGCACGCCAAAUCAGUCUAUUUCGUAACAACAACUCAUCAAAACAAUCUGGAGCUGGAAGUUAACCAUACCAUCUUUUCUGUAGCCUUUAGAAAUAUAUCACAAUUAUAUAAUUUGAUAAAUCAAUAGCAACACACAAAAUUAUGCUUUCAAUUCCAAGUUAAAACCUUACUUCUGAUCCAAUACAUUGCAAAAGGUAUCGAAGCAUUCAUGCUGGUUCCACCAGAUUGUGUAAGAUCCUCACACCACGAGCCAUCAGAAUCCUAAAUGCAUGGUCAUGAAUCUCUGCCUAACCUACACAACCUAACAUGGUAGUUAGAAAUCUUGGCGUUCUUGUCGAUUCAGAUCUAUGCUUUGAUGCUCACAUAAGAAGUAUUACUAGAACUGCAUUUUAUCAUCUGCGGAAGCCAAGCUUCGUAAGAUGCUCUCACUUAAUGAUGCAGAAAAACUAAUACAUGCCUUCGUAAGUUCCAGACUGGAUUACUGUAAUGCCCUCCUAUCGGGUUGCCCGUCUGGAUCCUUGCAUAAACUUCAGAUGGUACAGAAUGCUGCAGCCAGAGUUCUAACAAACACUAAAAAAUUUGAUCAUAUUACACCGGUCUUAUCCUCUCUUCAUUGGCUGCCAGUUAAGUCUCGAAUUGACUAUAAAAUACUGCUAUUAACUUAUAAAGCACUAAAUGGCCUUGCCCCAGAAUACCUUAGUGAUCUGCUGACCACAUACAACCCUCCACGCUUGCUUCGCUCUCAAGCCAUGGGAUAUCUGUUAGUGCCUAGGGUAGAAAGAGCUACGGCAGGCUGCAGAGCUUUCUCCUACAAAGCUCCUCAGCUGUGGAAUGGUCUUCCACCGGAUGUGGGGGUUUCAGGUUCACUCUCAAUAUUCAAGUCCAGACUAAAAACACACCUGUUUAGUUUAGCGUAUAGGGACACUAGUUCUAGCCCUAGCUAACUCUUCACUCCCAGUCAGACCUGUAGUGUGAGGUGUAGAGCUGGGUGGGGAUCGGUGCCAUUGGCUUUGGAUGAACUGGAUUGUCAGUGCUGUCACUCUAGCUUCGCAAUCUCUUGUGGAACUGGAGUGCUGACAUUUCAGGGACUCCCCAUGCCUGCAUUCCCACUUGCCUCUCCCUCCUACUGAUGCUGCCAUAGCCAUAUCUGCCGGAGCUUGCAGAUUGCACUUCAUAUUGUACUCACCUAGCUUUUAGCACUGCCAAUAGCCUCCUCUACUAUGCCUAAUUGUACAUUUUAAUUCCCCUACUCCUCCUGGGGGGUGAUGCCUGGAGACCUCAAUCUAUCAAGAUAUCCAGCACACCCGGCCACAUGUGACGUCGCCACCACCAGUGACGUCCCUGCAUCCAGCUCGCCGUUCUGAUCUUCCAUGUAUGACCCGCUGCCUCACCUCUGGUUGCCUGGCAAUUGGAAGAAGACUCGGCUUCGGCAUUGGCUUAUCAUCUUCCUUGCUCUCCAGUUAUUUCCCAAAUCUUAUUGGGGAAAAUGUGACUUGGCCCAUCUCUGGCACUUAACCAUCUCUCUAUUUGACUCUCCCUGCCGGCCCCUGGAGGAUGGGCUUCCCCUUUGAGUCUGGUCCCUCCCAAGGUUUCUUCCUUCUAGGGAGUUUUUCCUUGCCACUGUCGCCUAUGGCUUACGCUUAAUUGGCACCUGCAUUUGGCACCUGCAUUUGACUUAUAACUCUCAACCAAUGCUGCUAUAGCCUCCUUAUUGUCAUGGAACUGUGGGGGCAGAGCAGGAACUGAGAAGCAGAAGUCCAGGGAGUUCAGGAAAUGAGGGUUAUAUUUGGGGAGAAUACAUCCACAAACAAAAACUAAACAAAGGACUGACGUCAAUGACCAAACUGGGGAAAAUAAACCUAAGACUUAAAUACAUUGAACUAAUGACAGCAACAAGAAACAGCUGAUCACAUGGGGAUUCCACACGAGGCUAAUGAGGGGGCGUGGGACACGUGUGGGCAGGACACUUAUGUGCAAUAAUUUGAUACCCUGGACACCGCUAAGUGGCCCUCUGUCACACUAUGCUGGUCAUUUAAUCUUAUAUUUAUAUUCAUAUACAGAAAUAUAGGCUUAAUCAUUCUCGCCUUUCUCCAGGUGGUGUGGCGUUCAAAAGGCUGAGCAAUCACCUUGUCCCUAUAUUUUAAGAUAAGAUAAGAUAAUCCUUUAUUAGUCACACAAGUGGGAAAUUUGCAUAGUCACGACAGAAAGUGGACAGUACAAGAAUAGAGCAGCAAAAAUUAACAACAAUAUGAUAAAAACUAUAUAUGUACAAGUGGGAAUAUAUAAAUAUAAAUAUAUAUACAACACUGGGUGUCUGUCCUUCGCAGUAUGGUUGUAAUACUUUAUUGGGUGUCCACAAAUCCUGCUAAGGCUUUGAUGGGUGGAAGAGUUCUUGUCCUCUUGGAUGCAUUUGUGCUGGAUGUGUAUUCAGGCACUGUUUGGUGUUGGGAGUGUAUAGUAUGGUCUUGUAUGCUUGGGCAUAAAUGGGCAAAGAUACAUCAAGAAGUAUCUUGUUACAAAUUACAAAUACUUGCUCAUCAAAUGUAACAAUAAAAUACAAAAUACUGGCGUUAGAAAAUGUAUUUAAUUAAAGUACAAGGUAUCUGUAAUGAAAUAGAAAAUACAAAACUACACAAAAUAGGAACUACACGGCGAAUACGGGUACCUUUACAGCCCUAGUAAUGUGUAAUACUUACAAAAUAUACAGUUUGUCCUAACUUUAAACAGAAUAAUAAUUAUGCUAUUUACAUGUGUUAUAGUGUUAAUUGUUAAAUGAAAAAUGACGUUUUAAACAUUUACUAACGUGAUGAAAGCUCACCAGUCUGCACCUGAUUGGCGUUAUAGGGUUUUCGCGAUUCCAUCUUCUAGAACCGCGACAUAUCAUAAAUGUUGGUAUGGCGAUAUCAAUCUCGGAUUUAGAACCAUUAUACUCUUAAUUUAUACCCAGCGUUUCACAUAGAAUUAUAGUGGCGGUGGCUGACAGGGUGCCGGUAUGUACGUGCAAGGAGGCAUACCAAAGCUUUCUUAAAUUACAUAAUGCGUGAAUUUCCCGCUUUGUCUUAUAGUAAGAUACCGAAAGCAGAAACUUAAAGAAGAAUCUGAAAAAAAUUAAGCCAGCGGCUGUGACGCAUAUAAUUGUGACAUCCGUGAGGCACACCCCGGCCGGUCGUAAUUUGCAUAUUUCCCAUUGUGCAGCGCGGCUUGUGCAAAUAGCCCGCCUACGUCAUUUAUGUAAAUAAUGUGCCGUGUGUAACGUGAGCUGUAAUUAUUUCGUUUAAUUUUUAACUGUUUGUUAAACUGCCCACCGUGUACGGUUCCUCUUGCUUGUAAAGGGACUUCUCUUUCUCUGUCAUGAAGUCCACCUUACGUAGAUGCUAUUUAUUCUGUGUCUGUCUAAGUGGGCAAGUUUCGUUUGCGUCUGCGCAAUACCGAGUCCUGCUAAGGGCUCGGUAUUGCGAUAUUGGAAGAGCGGUCAAUGAAACCUUACUUUCAGAACUGAAUCUCGACUGUGAGCCUCUUUGCAGUAUGUCUGGGUCCGGCAGAUACCACAAUAUGCAAAGUCAAGUUCCUCGGUCGUUUUUCGCUUUUACACAGGCUCAGCGACUAUUAAACGCAUACAUUUAGCUGAUAUAAAUUAGUUUAUCCUUAGGAACAAAAGUAGCUAGCAUGAUUUAUCGCUAAUUAAGUCUUACAUAGGCCUAUAUGACAAAUCACAAGAUACCACUGCCUGAGUAUUUCUGUUGAAAUGAACUAGUAAACUAGAGCACAGGACUGCUGCUUACUAAUUGCUCUCUCUUUCUGUCCAAUAAUCAGGGAUGGACAUAACUCGUACGCAAGAACUCAUUCACUUUUAAAAACGAAACGUGCGACAAUCGAUUGCGGUAUCAGUGUAAAUGCGUAUUAUGUGCUUUUACGCUGAUAUGAAAACAAAAUGUAAUGCAUUUCAAUCUUUGUUGUUCAAUAUUCUACUACAUACUUUACGUUAAGGAAAUUUGCAUCAAGCACCAAAAUGGCUUCUUUGCUUUGAUUACUGGUCAUGGGAAAACGAAGUUCACAACGAGCAAGUUGGGGCCAACAAAGCUGCUCCUGAGAGCAGUAACAAUGCAUUAUUUCUACAGGUGUGUCUCUUUUGUGCUGUGGCCAUCUUCUCUUGAAAGUGUCUGCAGCUCUGUGUAUGUUUGUGACAGAAUUAAUAGCAGAUAGUCUCUUUACUGGAACUGGUGUGUAAUCGACUAUGUUAACGGGUUCUGUCUCCGUUUCUGUCUGACCUGCACUGCUCAAAGUGUUUGCUACCAUCACGUCGUGACCUGGGACAUACAGUAGCCGUGUAAAGUCGGGACGCGCCAAGUCACCUACGAAGAUGAGCGAGAGUGAUAUAGUGUCGCAUCACAUGACCCGGCCACCUGACCGAAACACAGUGGAAAUGGGUUCGGAGUUUGACCAGAGAAGUGAAGGAAAAGCAGCUAAUGAAUGCACAGCAUAUAUGUAGGAUCUCUUUCAGGACAGCUGGAAAAGCUUCCCAGGAGACCACCUCUUGGCACUGGCAUAGUGGAGACAGCAGGGCCCCCCAGUCCCUGGUACAAUUGGGGUUAAGGGCCCCAACAGGUUGGUGUGUCCAAACUUUUGACUGCUAUUGUAAGUGACAUUAUCAUACUCCUGACAGCAUUCAUCAGUGGAGAUUUGACAAUAUCCUUCAGUGGCUAGCGAUCCGUUUGACCAUUAAUAGGUCAUAAGUAUACCGAUGGAAUUCGUCCAUACCAAAGAAUAUUGGCAGGCACUCCUUCUCCAGUUUGAUUGAGUGCUCCGCUCCCAUCUGUUACGGGUUUGCCUUGUUGUGUUAAUGCCGCUCCUAGACCAGUUUCCCUAGCAUUGCUCGGCAGCAUCAGCUCUUCCUCAGGGCUAUAGUACUUUACGACUGAAGAUAUGUCACCCUGCCAUCAUGGAUGUCUGCACUUCAAAUGUGAAGGUGGAGGCCAGUGGAACAGCACAGUGUGGGAGCUAAAUAUCUGAAAGAGGCUGCAGAAAUUUAAUACUAAGAACCAGGAAGCCUUAGCGUGUCAUAUAAAGGUAGUUUAUAAAGACAAGCUCUCUGAUAACCAUUCUACAGACUACACCUGCCACGUCGCCUACUUUAAAUGCUGUUGUGUUGAUCAGGGUGCAGUGAACCAAAGUAUUGUCUUUCAAAACAUGGUGUAACAUCAUGAUGAAAAUGCUGACACCGUAUCCACUGUAUAUUCGAAGGAUGUUCAGAUCAAUGUUGAAAUAUUGAUUCUUUUUCAUUUUGAAAAUGUAUAUUGGUAUAGAGAUUAAUAUCCCUCAAACAAUACUAGCAUUGGAUUGAAUCGAAAUAUGGGUUUAUUUGUUUAUGGAAGAAACGUAUCAAGUUUUAUCCUUUUGCCAAAAAGCCUGGAUUUCCUCUUUUUCCCCUUUCAAGGAUUUUUUUUUUACCUUAUUUUAAAGUAUUUAACUUUUCACUGUAUCUCUCAUUACCUGUAUUCACUGCCCAUACUCUCAUCUGCCUAUGAGAUAUACGCACACACACACAUUCAUGAUAGGCACUUAACUCACAGACCACGUUAUUAUAAGGUCCUUGGCUUCAGUAAACAACAUGGUCAGUCAUACUUCUAUUGUAGUGAACAUCGAAAUGAGACAACGGCACGUUCUGGUGUCAUUAUUUUGUUGAUAGAAACAAUUAUCUGUGAAAUACGUCGAUUCAGUUUUCAGCACGAGGCAACUCAUGCUCAGCUCUCCUCUCACAGAUUCUAAAUAUUAAGGAAAAUGCCGCGUACUCCAUAAAUAGGAGACUUGAAGUACAUAGCGUACUAUCGCCAUCUGCUGACCGUUUUCAAUCUGCAAGCGGAAAUCCAGUAGUUAAAGGAAGUUCAUUUCAAUUUACAGAACCGAUUCUAUAAAGCUAUCUGUUUAACUUGAACGUUAGUUCCUAUUUGUCGGUAUGUGCAUAUGCUACGGCGAAUCCUGGUUACAGUCCAUCAUAAUCGGCGAUCUGGAAACAUUUUGGUUUGAUAAUAAAUUACACCAAUACUGGAGAGAGUUCUUGAUAAAACCAAGACUGUCCGUCGGUGUUAUACCGAAUUGAAUUAUGUUGCCGAGAUGACGUCAUUCAUGUGUGUACGACCAGACCGGAGCAAGGCAGAAACAGCCUCUCAAGUCUCCCCGUGGCAUUUAAGCAAAUUUAACUACAGAUAAGCGACCAUACUUGGUAAUAGAGAACAAGGGAUUUAGUUCAUUAUUAUUUUAAUAUUAUACUUUCUUUUCUUUUUUUACAAAUACAAUAAAAAUUAGCGUGUCUUCAUACAUUCAAACAUUGACGAACGCAUUGCCUCUUUUUAAACUUUUCCUAAUUGUUUUUGCGGUUUUAAUAAUCUCAGAACAAAUUCUGUUUUCCCUGCUGUAUAGAAAUUGCAUCGAACUGUAAAUGCAAAAUCCAGCGGUACCGAAGAACGUUUGUUUAACAGGAAAGGAGUACAGAUUACCUUCUCAGAAGCCCUGGGAGGAGGAUUCGUGUGCCGUCGGCCUAAAAAAAAAGGAACAAACCGCUCUCAGUAGUUGGAGUUGGGGUCAACUAUGAGAAACAAGAUGAGGAGGCCCCAGCAUUACGUUAAAAAAGACUCACGUCUCCGUCUGCAGCAGACGACACAGAGGAUGAUGAGAGCGAUGAUGAUGAGGAGGAGGAGGAAACCGCAGGGGAUUCCGAUAGCGAGGCCCAGGAUGGCCGCCUUGCUCAGUCCCUGGCCUGGAACAGGAAGCGAAUAAGACUUUGAGAUAAUAUAUCAUAUCAUACGAGAAUCUUCAAUCUCGUUCCUGACCAUUAACAGAUUUAACAGCAUCUUGGAAAAAUAUCUGCUGCCGAAUUGGGCAAGGGAGUAUGUGGGCAUUUAGGCAGGACAACACGGGAAUGCCAUUAUUUACUGGACCUAAAUAAGCCUAAUUUACUGGGGAUAACUGGUUUAGAAUAAACACCCAUUCCCAUUAAGGACUUUGCAUUGGCUGAAUCACCGUCCUCAGACUGAAAGUCCCACCUGGUC